CCUUGACAUCCACGGAAUUUGGCAGAGAUGCCUUAGUGCCUUCGGGAACCGUGAGACAGGUGCUGCAUGGCUGUCGUCAGCUCGUGUUGUGAAAUGUUGGGUUAAGUCCCGCAACGAGCGCAACCCUUAUCCUUUGUUGCCAGCGGCUCGGCCGGGAACUCAAAGGAGACUGCCGGUGAUAAACCGGAGGAAGGUGGGGAUGACGUCAAGUCAUCAUGGCCCUUACGGCCAGGGCUACACACGUGCUACAAUGGCGCAUACAAAGAGAAGCGACCUCGCGAGAGCAAGCGGACCUCAUAAAGUGCGUCGUAGUCCGGAUUGGAGUCUGCAACUCGACUCCAUGAAGUCGGAAUCGCUAGUAAUCGUAGAUCAGAAUGCUACGGUGAAUACGUUCCCGGGCCUUGUACACACCGCCCGUCACACCAUGGGAGUGGGUUGCAAAAGAAGUAGGUAGCUUAACCUUCGGGAGGGCGCUUACCACUUUGUGAUUCAUGACUGGGGUGAAGUCGUAACAAGGUAGGCGUAGAUGA
rnacentral:rRNA from 1 species